rnacentral:lncRNA from 10 species
ACAAACUUUCAGAGACAGCAGAGCACACAAGCUUCUAGGACAAGAGCCAGGAAGAAACCACCGGAAGGAACCAUCUCACUGUGUGUAAACAUGACUUCCAAGCUGGCCGUGGCUCUCUUGGCAGCCUUCCUGAUUUCUGCAGCUCUGUGUGAAGGUGCAGUUUUGCCAAGGAGUGCUAAAGAACUUAGAUGUCAGUGCAUAAAGACAUACUCCAAACCUUUCCACCCCAAAUUUAUCAAAGAACUGAGAGUGAUUGAGAGUGGACCACACUGCGCCAACACAGAAAUUAUGUAAGUACUUUAAAAAAGAUUAGAUAUUUUGUUUUAGCAAACUUAAAAUUAAGGAAGGUGGAAAUAUUUAGGAAAGUUCCAGGUGUUAGGAUUACAGUAGUAAAUGAAACAAAACAAAAUAAAAAUAUUUGUCUACAUGACAUUUAAAUAUGGUAGCUUCCACAACUACUAUAAAUGUUAUUUUGGACUUAGACUUUAUGCCUGACUUAAGGAAUCAUGAUUUGAAUGCAAAAACUAAAUAUUAAUCUGAACCAUUUCUUUCUUAUUUCAGUGUAAAGCUUUCUGAUGGAAGAGAGCUCUGUCUGGACC